rnacentral:rRNA from 1 species
UACGUAGGUGGCAAGCGUUGUCCGGAAUUAUUGGGCGUAAAGCGCGCGCAGGCGGUUCCUUAAGUCUGAUGUGAAAGCCCACGGCUCAACCGUGGAGGGUCAUUGGAAACUGGGGGACUUGAGUGCAGAAGAGGAGAGCGGAAUUCCACGUGUAGCGGUGAAAUGAGAGAUGUGGAGGAACACCAGUGGCGAAGGCGGCUCUCUGGUCUGUAACUGACGCUGAGGCGCGAAAAGCGUGGGGAGCAAACAGGAUUAAUACCCCG